rnacentral:rRNA from 1 species
UACGGGGGGGGCAAGCGUUGUUCGGAAUUACUGGGCGUAAAGGGCUCGUAGGCGGCCAACUAAGUCAGACGUAAAAUCCCUCGGCUUAACCGGGGAACUGCAUCUGAUACUGGAUGGCUUGAGUUCGGGAGAGGGAUGCGGAAUUCCAGGUGUAGCGGUGAAAUGCGUAGAUAUCUGGAGGAACACCGGUGGCGAAGGCGGCAUCCUGGACCGAGACUGACACUGAGGAGCGAAAGCCAGGGGAGCAAACGGG